rnacentral:rRNA from 1 species
GAUGAACGCUGGCGGCGUGCCUAAUACAUGCAAGUCGAGCGAACAGAUGAGGAGCUUGCUCCUCUGACGUUAGCGGCGGACGGGUGAGUAACACGUGGUUAACCUACCUAUAAGACUGGGAUAACUUCGGGAAACCGGAGCUAAUACCGGAUAAUAUAUUGAACCGCAUGGUUCAAUAGUGAAAGACGGUUUUGCUGUCACUUAUAGAUGGAUCCGCGCCGCAUUAGCUAGUUGGUAAGGUAACGGCUUACCAAGGCAACGAUGCGUAGCCGACCUGAGAGGGUGAUCGGCCACACUGGAACUGAGACACGGUCCAGACUCCUACGGGAGGCAGCAGUAGGGAAUCUUCCGCAAUGGGCGAAAGCCUGACGGAGCAACGCCGCGUGAGUGAUGAAGGUCUUCGGAUCGUAAAACUCUGUUAUUAGGGAAGAACAAAUGUGUAAGUAACUAUGCACGUCUUGACGGUACCUAAUCAGAAAGCCACGGCUAACUACGUG